GCUGAAGUUAGACCCAAGAAAAAACACUUAGGCAAGGUGGACCAGGAAGUAAUAUACACCAAUGUGGGAAACAUUAGAAGAAAAUCACCCGAGGUAACCCUAACAUACUACAACUAUACAUUUGUAUUUGAGUAUAAGCAGACUUUAACUUUUUUUUUCUUAAAGAAUGACACGACUGUAAAGUGUUCUGUUUCCACUCCUUUUGUUUUCCCCCAGAUGUCACUUCCUGAAAGUGAUGGGGAAGUCAUGUACAGUUCAGUUGUUACCCCCAGGGAUCAAUAAAGUAUUCUGAUUCUGAUUAGAAGAAAAUCACCCGAGGGUGAAGGAAAAGGCACAGAAGUUACAUAUAGCACAUUAGCUACUCUCCACUGAAAUAUUUAAAUGUUAUAACCUUUUGCAUUUUGUGUACCUGUAUUACUGGAGUCUUUGUCAGACAAGUGCUGUAAUGUGUUAUCUGCUCUCAUCAGCUUGUUAUAUGAUUUUUUGUUUUUAACUGCUGUUUAAGAACUAUAUUCCUGCAUAUUUGCAAAGUGAGUCAAAGAAGUGUUGAUCUGUUUGCUCUUUUAUCAAGAUUGUUGACAUUAAUCUUGUUUUUUUGUUAUUUUUUGUAAUAAAGAAGCAUUGCAAGCAUCAACAAUAAUGGGUAAUCCUGACCUCUAUCAUCAGGUUGUGUGAGAACUCUCAGUGUAUAUCAAACAUUUUGUCUUUGUUGAAUGAGAGUGGAAUUAUAUACUAUUUGGAAAGAUUAAGCAUGCAGUCUGCCUUUAUGUAAAUUUUUUUUAAACAUAAAUAUGUGUGUAAUGAGUCAUUCUAAAGACCUCACUAAAUUGGUACUGCAUCUUUGUUUCAUCCUGGACACGAUUCUGACACACACUAAUCCUCAGCCUCCUUCUCC
ensembl:lncRNA